rnacentral:rRNA from 1 species
UGUCAAGCCACAAAGGGCUCACGGU